rnacentral:rRNA from 1 species
UAAUACGUAGGGUGCGAGCGUUAAUCGGAAUUACUGGGCGUAAAGCGUGCGUAGGCGGUUCGCUGUGUCUGCGGUGAAAUCCCCGGGCUCAACCUGGGAAUGGCCGUGGAAACUGGCGAGCUGGAGUGUGGCAGAGGGGGGUGGAAUUCCGCGUGUAGCAGUGAAAUGCGUAGAGAUGCGGAGGAACACCGAUGGCGAAGGCAACCCCCUGGGCUGACACUGACGCUCAGGCACGAAAGCGUGGGGAGCAAACAGGAUUAGAUACCCUGGUAGUCCACGCCCUAAACGAUGUCAACUGGGUGUCGGGGGAGCGAUUUCUCGGUACCGUAGCUAACGCGUGAAGUUGACCGCCUGGGGAGUACGGCCGCAAGGUUA